rnacentral:rRNA from 1 species
GACGAAGGGGGCUAGCGUUGUUCGGAAUUACUGGGCGUAAAGCGAGUGUAGGUGGUUGUCCAAGUUGGAUGUGAAAGCCUUGAGCUCAACUCAAGAAAUGCAUUCAGGACUGGGUGACUAGAGGACCGGAGAGGAUAGUGGAAUUCCCAGUGUAGUGGUGAAAUACGUAGAGAUUGGGAAGAACACCAGUGGCGAAGGCGGCUAUCUGGACGGUUUCUGACACUAAGACUCGAAAGCGUUGGGGAGCAAACAGG